AGGACGAACGCUGGCGGCGUGCUUAACACAUGCAAGUCGAGCGGAAAGGCCCUUCGGGGUACUCGAGCGGCGAACGGGUGAGUAACACGUGAGUAAUCUGCCCCUGGCUCUGGGAUAGCUCCGGGAAACCGGGAUUAAUACCAGAUACAACCACUUUAGACAUCUCUUGUGGUGGAAAGAAUUUCGGCUAGGGAUGAACUCGCGGCCUAUCAGCUUGUUGGUGAGGUAACGGCUCACCAAGGCGACGACGGGUA
rnacentral:rRNA from 1 species